UACGUAGGGUGCGAGCGUUAAUCGGAAUUACUGGGCGUAAAGCGUGCGCAGGCGGUUUUGCAAGCCGGAUGUGAAAUCCCCGGGCUUAACCUGGGAAUGGCAUUUGGGACUGCAAGGCUGGAGUGCGGCAGAGGAGACUGGAAUUCCUGGUGUAGCAGUGAAAUGCGUAGAUAUCAGGAGGAACACCGAUGGCGAAGGCAGGUCUCUGGGCCGAAAUUGACGCUGAGGAGCGAAAGCGUGGGGAGCAAACAGG
rnacentral:rRNA from 1 species